rnacentral:rRNA from 1 species
GACGAACCGUGCGACCGUUGUUCGGAAUCACUGGGCUUAAAGGGCGCGUAGGCGGGCUCGUCAGUCUGUGGUGAAAGCCCCCAGCUCAACUGGGGAAGUGCCGCGGAUACUGCGAGUCUCGAGGGGGGUAGGGGCAUGUGGAACUUCCGGUGGAGCGGUGAAAUGCGUAGAUAUCGGAAGGAACGCCGGUGGCGAAAGCGACGUGCUGGACCCUCUCUGACGCUGAGGCGCGAAAGCCAGGGGAGCAAACGGG